rnacentral:tRNA from 1 species
CCAUAGCUCAGCUGGAUAGAGCAUCAGACUACGAAUCUGAGGGUCGGGCGUUCGAAUC